rnacentral:rRNA from 1 species
AAGCGCCCGCGACCAGACUCGCGCCGUGCGGAUCAUCCCGCGUUCUCGCCGGUGCACUCCGCCCGGCGCGGGCCAGCAUCGGUUCCCGCGGGGGGACAAAGGCCCCGGGAAUGUGGCUCCCCCGGGAGUGUUAUAGCCCGCCGCGCAAUGCCCCCUCGGGGACCGAGGACCGCGCACCGCAAGGAUGCUGGCGUAAUGGUCGUCGGCGA